rnacentral:sRNA from 1 species
UCCACCAAUAGACUUGGCGUUUCGGCGCGUA